CUACGGGAGGCAGCAGUAAGGGAUAUUGGGCAAUGGGCGAAAGCCUGACCCAGCAACGCCGCGUGGAGGAUGACGGCCUUCGGGUUGUAAACUCCUUUUGUCGGGGACGAGACAAGGACGGUACCCGGCGAAGAAGUCACGGCUAACUACGUGCCAGCAGCCGCGGUAAAACGUAGGUGGCAAGCGUUAUCCGGAUUUACUGGGCGUAAAGCGUGUGCAGGCGGAUGGCCAAGUGGUGUAUGAAAGCUCCAGGCUUAACCUGGAGAGGUUAUGCCAGACUGGCCGUCUUGAGGCAGAGAGAGGGACAUGGAAUUCCGGGUGUAGUGGUGAAAUGCGUAGAGAUCCGGAGGAACUCCAGAGGCGAAGGCGGUGUCCUGGCUCUGACCUGACGCUCAGACACGAAAGCAUGGGGAGCGAACGGGAUUAGAAACCCCAGUAGUCC
rnacentral:rRNA from 1 species